GUACUAAUUUAAUGGUUCCACAGUUUUCUGGCCACAUCCAAUAUUUUGAGGCCCUCAACCUGAUAGUGGAUAUCGGGCUGGGCUUCAACUUUCUUUCCACUGUUUUGGGCACAUUUGGCGAUGUGUCGCAGUUUCCUCCUUGGUAUGGCCAAUUGUGCAGUUUGUUUAUUGGCCACAAGGGCGCUCGGGGAGUUUAGUGUUAGCCUCCACACUCACUCCCCUUACCACAGCUGAUUUUCCCCUAUGCAAUGUCGUUAGCAGUCUUCCUUUUUUGUCGGUAAUACUGACAACACAGCCCCUGUCCAUCUGUGAUCAGCUUGCCUUGUUUGCUGUGUGCAUUGUCACACAUACUUUCUUGAGCCCACUUGUCCACUGAUGGGGUUAAAUUUUCUCCCCACCGUUUUGACAUAGUGAGCUCUCUGCUUGAUCCAUUCCACCUGUCAUCCCAUCAAGCCUCCUCACGCUGCAGGUGUAUUGCACGCAUUGCUUUGGGACUUGUUUCAGCUGUGAUUGGCCCACCCGAUAUCAUGUGAUGCUUACACGUCACACAUCGGGUUAGGACAGCCUAUUUAAACGACAUUUUGCUGCACACUCAGUGCAGAAUGCCGCAGGGUCAUAUGUUCAGUGAGCACUCUUGUCCUUAAUGCUUUGCAGUUCCCCUCCUGGAUCAAGCAGCUGAUUUCUUCUGGCUUUAUACACACUAAGCUUAUUGUGACUUUGCAACACUGCCUGCGAUCCUUAUAUAGAUCUUAUACAGAUAUUUUGGGAAAUCUACAUGAUUCCUUCCUUGAAUUAACACUGCAGCUGGAUUGCUCAUUGAUGUCCCUGGUCUUUAACCCCAUAAACCGUUAUAUAUGUAAGUCAUUUAUGCUUUAUGGUCUCACAGUCAUUACUGCUAAACUAAGUUAACCAAUAUUUUGGUCAUUAUGUCUUAAAUACAUAUAUAUCUCACAGAUAAUAAUAUUUUAACCCCUAGCCAUCCCUAUUGCUUUGGCUAUGGUGUGUGUGUGUGUUUUUUUUUUUUUUACCUCUGUCUCACUUACAUGUUAACCCUUAUAUGACUGUCCUUUUGUGACCAUUUUCAAACUUUUCCUGCUCAUUUGCAGGAUCAUGCACAUGACCAUUUUCACCUUGGCGGUUUUCUGUGUUUGUCGCUAGUUGUGGGCAACUCGUGGUUGCAUAUUUUGACUGGAUAUCGCUCCCUCCCCUGAAGAAGCGGAAGUCCGCGAAACAUGUAGGGUCCAUGCGAUUUCCUUUUCCAGUUGCAU